UACGUAGGGGGCGAGCGUUGUCCGGAAUCAUUGGGCGUAAAGAGCGUGUAGGCGGCCAAGCAGGUCCGCUGUGAAAACUCGAGGCUCAACCUCGAGAGGUCGGUGGAAACCGUUUGGCUAGAGUCCGGAAGAGGAGAGUGGAAUUCCCGGUGUAGCGGUGAAAUGCGCAGAUAUCGGGAAGAACACCCGUGGCGAAGGCGGCUCUCUGGGACGGUACUGACGCUGAGACGCGAAAGCGUGGGGAGCGAACAGG
rnacentral:rRNA from 1 species